rnacentral:rRNA from 1 species
GAUGAACGCUAGCUACAGGCUUAACACAUGCGAGUCGAGGGGCAGCAUGGUCUUAGCUUGCUAAGGCCGAUGGCGACCGGCGCACGGGUGAGUAACACGUAUCCAACCUGCCGUCUACUCUUGGACAGCCUUCUGAAAGGAAGAUUAAUACAAGAUGGCAUCAUGAGUCCGCAUGUUCACAUGAUUAAAGGUAUUCCGGUAGACGAUGGGGAUGCGUUCCAUUAGAUAGUAGGCGGGGUAACGGCCCACCUAGUCUUCGAUGGAUAGGGGUUCUGAGGGGAAGGUCCCCCACAUUGGAACUGAGACACGGUCCAAACUCCUACGGGAGGCAGCAGUGAGGAAUAUUGGUCAAUGGGCGAGAGCCUGAACCAGCCAAGUAGCGUGAAGGAUGACUGCCCUAUGGGUUGUAAACUUCUUUUAUAAAGGAAUAAAGUCGGGUAGGGAUACCCGUUUGCAUGUACUUUAUGAAUAAGGAUCGGCUAACUCCGUG